GGAGGAGUGCCGGAGCCUGGCUGAACGGAGCAUCCUGCUAAGAUGUUGAUCCCGCAAGGGGUCCGUGGGUUCAAAUCCCACCUCCUCCGCCA
rnacentral:tRNA from 1 species